rnacentral:rRNA from 1 species
AUUGAACGCUGGCGGCAUGCCUUACACAUGCAAGUCGAACGGUAACGGGCCUUCGGGUGCCGACGAGUGGCGAACGGGUGAGUAAUACAUCGGAACGUGCCCGAUCGUGGGGGAUAACGAGGCGAAAGCUUUGCUAAUACCGCAUACGAUCUACGGAUGAAAGCAGGGGACCGCAAGGCCUUGCGCGGACGGAGCGGCCGAUGGCAGAUUAGGUAGUUGGUGGGAUAAAAGCUUACCAAGCCGACGAUCUGUAGCUGGUCUGAGAGGAUGAUCAGCCACACUGGGACUGAGACACGGCCCAGACUCCUACGGGAGGCAGCAGUGGGGAAUUUUGGACAAUGGGCGCAAGCCUGAUCCAGCCAUGCCGCGUGCAGGAUGAGGGCCUUCGGGUUGUAAACUGCUUUUGUACGGAACGAAAAGCCUUCUUUUAAUACAGGAGGGUCAUGACGGUACCGGAAGAAUAAGCACCGGCUAACUACGUG